ACUCCUACGGGAGGCAGCAGUGGGGAAUAUUGCACAAUGGGGGAAACCCUGAUGCAGCCAUGCCGCGUGUGUGAAGAAGGCCUUCGGGUUGUAAAGCACUUUCAGUCGGUGAGGAAGGUUGUAGUUAAUACCUGCAAUUCUUGUGACUGUUAGCCGACAUGAAGAAAGACACCGGCUAACUCCGUGCCAGCAGCCGCGGUAAUACGGAGGGUGCGAGCGUUAAUCGGAAUUACUGGGCGUAAAGCGCAUGCAGGCGGCCUGUUAAGUCAGAUGUGAAAGCCCGGGGCUUAACCUCGGAAUUGCAUUUGAAACUGGCAGGCUAGAGUCUUGUAGAGGGGGGUAGAAUUUCAGGUGUAGCGGUGAAAUGCGUAGAGAUCUGAAGGAAUACCAGUGGCGAAGGCGGCCCCCCU
rnacentral:rRNA from 1 species